GGGAAGAUAACGAUUGGUAGUUUACUCGCUUUGGAUGCGAGAGGUUGUAGGUUCGAGUCCUGCUUCUCA
rnacentral:tRNA from 1 species